ensembl:snRNA U6 U6 spliceosomal RNA
GUGCUCACUUUGGCAGCACAUGUACUAAAACUAGAAUGAUACAAAGAAAACUGGCAUGGCCCAUGUGCAAGGUUGAUUCACAAAGUCAUGAAUCCUUCCUUACUUUU